rnacentral:rRNA from 1 species
CAAAUCAUCAUGCCCCUUACGUCCUGGGCUACACACGUACUACAAUGGGCGGACAUACAACGGGUAGCGACAUGGUGACAUGGAGCCAAUCUCUAAAAAGCCGCCUCAGUUCGGAUCGCAGGCUGCAACCCGCCUGCGUGAAGUCGGAAUUGCUAGUAAUCGCGGAUCAGCAUGCCGCGGUGAAUACGUUCCCGGGCCUU